ACUCUGACACGUCGUUCUCAGCAGCUGAAGCCAUGUGCUGUGACUAUCUUUGGAGCCUCCCCAGCCCUGUUUAGUGCACAGCUGAACUGUAACUGUUGCAAACAUCUGGAGUGGAUGAGAUGGGAAAGGAGACCCGCAGUGAUUGUGGAUUCUGGGGAAGAUGGACCAGUGGUGGUGUGGUAGAUAGGUUGGGCUAUCAGGAGCAUCUUGUAAAUAAGAAAGGAAUAGAAGAAGAUAAAACAGAUAAAUUGCCAUGAGAACUACGGCUCAAUAUUUUGCUCCGGCCAAGAAUUCCACAACUGGUUCCAGGAAGCCUCCUUCUUUUGAAGCUUUAGCCUCAGUUUGUGGAACUUGUCACACAGAUUCUACUGGGGUUGGUGUGGCAACAAUGAAUCUUUUCAAAAUACAGCAAGAGGACACUGAUGAAGACUGUUGCAGGUCUAACUCUUCAGCCUGGCUUCAGAGGAGGGAUGGAGCCCAGUGUAUAGCAGCAGAAGUAGAAGAUGCAGAAGAAGCAGAUGUGAACCGUGCUACACGUACCAACCAGGGCAAAGCUACUAGAACUUUCUCAACACCUGUUUCCUCAUAAUAACAGGGGAAUAAUUAAACCCAGCAUGGCAGGUUUGAGGAAUCCCACAUGCUGAUGUCUUUAAAGCACACAGCAGAGGCAUCUGGAAGGCUUCACGCAGACAUGUUCCUCAUGUGCCAGGUGCUCAGAAGAGCAACUACUUAUUGCCCGUAGUCCUGUGGCCAGUGUGACUUCUAUGCUUCAAAUUCCUUCCUACAAGGCUUGAAUAAUAAUAAAAAGACCAAAGACACCA
rnacentral:lncRNA from 1 species